GAUGAACGCUGGCGGCGUGCCUAAUACAUGCAAGUCGAGCGAACGGACGAGAAGCUUGCUUCUCUGAUGUUAGCGGCGGACGGGUGAGUAACACGUAGAUAACCUACCUAUAAGACUGGGAUAACUUCGGGAAACCGGAGCUAAUACCGGAUAAUAUUUUGAACCGCAUGGUUCAAAAGUGAAAGACGGUCUUGCUGUCACUUAUAGAUGGAUCCGCGCUGCAUUAGCUAGUUGGUAAGGUAACGGCUUACCAAGGCAACGAUGCAUAGCCGACCUGAGAGGGUGAUCGGCCACACUGGAACUGAGACACGGUCCAGACUCCUACGGGAGGCAGCAGUAGGGAAUCUUCCGCAAUGGGCGAAAGCCUGACGGAGCAACGCCGCGUGAGUGAUGAAGGUCUUCGGAUCGUAAAACUCUGUUAUUAGGGAAGAACAUAUGUGUAAGUAACUGUGCACAUCUUGACGGUACCUAAGCAGAAAGCCACGGCUAACUACGU
rnacentral:rRNA from 1 species